CAAUAAUUCAUCAGAGUUGCCAGCCUCAGAAACCGCUGGUUAACAGAACCCCAAAUAAGAGUUUUCUGCAUGAUUUCUUCUGUGUUAAUUCAUAUUUGGAUUAUGUGUUAUUUCAUAGUCUGGAUCACUAUUAAUGUAGGGAAGACAGAAAAUAAGAACACUGAAUGAGAAGGUGUGUCUAAACUUUUGACUGGUUCUGUAUAUGUUAUUUUAGUCUUUCCACUAACAGAGACAGAGCAUUAUACAAUAAUAGAAACUGUAUGUAGGUUUUAUAUAUGGGUUAUAUGUACUUGUAAUGGGAUUUAUAAUAAAAUUACUUUAAAGUGACCUGAAAUAGACUCUUUUUACAUUGACUUCCAUUGAAAGUUUAGAAGGAUUUUUCUCUCUCUUGUAAAGUUGCUCUUUUGAAGAUACUUGUUUUUCACUGUACAGCGACUAUAUUCAUAAAGCAAUGGAUGAAUGGGUGCUUGGAUGGAAGAAUAGGUCAUCCUCUUUCUGACGUUAGUGUUCUGUCUAUUUUAAUAUGAGCAAUAAAUGACUGUAAUCUUUUUGCAGACAUUUUGCACAUUAUAGCAAACCUGUAAAACGUAAUGUUUUUCUUUCUUUCUCUCCACUGUGAGUAAAGGUUGAAAACUGGAAAGUUUUCAUGGCAGAACAUUGAGUGAAGAGACAUAAAGCAGCAGCCACUGCUCUUUGUGUAUGCUCUAGAUACUGCUGCAAUUUCCUUCUCAGCAGUGUCAUUCUCUCUCAGACAGAACAUUUGGAGGAGAGGCCUUCAAGCAGCAUCUGCACUCUUCAAAUGGACCAGAUGUGCCUUUGGCUCCACCGCCAAGUCUUUAAGCAGCAGCGGAACAAGCCCGCUCUCUCCCCAGGGGAGACUCGCAUAAUAGCACAACUGUUUCAGGCAACAGGUGCCGCUUGUGCCACUGAAUAGAACACAGCUCAACACUCAACAGACAAAGCAAAACACUCCCGCUCCAUCACAUGCUGAAAAUACAACUACCAGCAACAAUACUGAGACAUCAUCCAUGUCAUCACAGGUUUAACAGAACCAGUCCCAACACGAGCCCAAUGGGACUGAAGGUGAUCUCAGAGACAAGCAUGUUCAGGUUUAUUUGAAUACGUUUCUCUGUUGUUUUA
rnacentral:lncRNA from 1 species